GGGGAAUCUUGCACAAUGGGGGCAACCCUGAUGCAGCGACGCCGCGUGAGCGAUGAAGCCCUUCGGGGCGUAAAGCUCUUUCGACCGGAACGAUAAUGACGGUACCGGGAGAAGAAGCUGCGGCUAACUACGUGCCAGCAGCCGCGGUAAUACGUAGGCAGCAAGCGUUGUUCGGAGUUACUGGGCGUAAAGAGUGCGUAGGCGGUUUUCUAAGUUCGGUGUGAAAGCUCCCGGCUUAACUGGGAGGGUGCGCCGAAGACUGGGAAGCUGGAGUGUGGGAAAGGCAGGCGGAAUUCCUGGUGUAGCGGUGAAAUGCGUAGAUAUCAGGAGGAACACCGGCGGUGUAGACGGCUUGCUAGACCAUAACUGACGCUGAGGCACGAAAGCGUGGGUAGCAAACA
rnacentral:rRNA from 1 species